rfam:Aedes aegypti strain Liverpool supercont1.489 genomic scaffold, whole genome shotgun sequence.
CCAACGGCCCUUUUCAGGGCCAUCAAAUGUGUUUAAAGCAGUUAAA